rfam:Cyanophage S-TIM5, complete genome.
UCCCAAGUAGCUCAGUGGCAGAGCCGCCGACUGUUAAUCGGCUGGUCGCUGGUUCAAAUCCAGCCUUGGGAG